GUUAGGGAAUGCUUGGAAUUUAUUUCCAGAAGAAAUAUACGGAAGUAAUAUUUGAGCGGAAUACAUGCGACAUACGGACGUCAUGGUCUAAGACAGCUUGCACAUAACUGCGUUCUGUCAUGGUAUAUUACCAAAAGCUGUUUCGGCGUUGUUUUCAACUGGGGAGGAGGGAGCGGGAGACAAAGUUUGUUUUGUCAAUGUGCAAUUCCAGCUUUUAGUUUAUGCGUGCAGGGGAUGAUGGGAAGUAAGGUAUCAUAUUGCUGAUUAUGCUAAAAAAAUAAAAAUGGU